rnacentral:tRNA from 1 species
ACCGAAAUAGCUCAGUUGAGAGAGCGUUAGACUAUGUGUAGAUCGAAAGGUCCCAGGUUCGAUCCCGGGUUUUGGCA